CCUACGGGAGGCAGCAGUGGGGAAUAUUGCACAAUGGGGGAAACCCUGAUGCAGCGACGCCGCGUGAGUGAAGAAGUAAUUCGUUAUGUAAAGCUCUAUCAGCAGGGAAGAAAAUGACGGUACCUGAGUAAGAAGCCCCGGCUAACUACGUGCCAGCAGCCGCGGUAAUACGUAGGGGGCAAGCGUUAUCCGGAUUUACUGGGUGGAAAGGGAGCGUAGACGGCAGUGCAAGUCUGGAGUGAAAGGCGGGGGCUCAACCCUCGGACUGCUCUGGAAACUGGACGGCUGGAGUGCAGGAGAGGUAAGUGGAAUUCCUGGUGUAGCGGUGAAAUGCGUAGAUAUUAGGAGGAACACCAGUGGCGAAGGCGGCUUACUGGACUGUAACUGACGUUGAGGCUCGAAAGCGUGGGGAGCAAACAGGAUUAGAUACCCCAGUAGUC
rnacentral:rRNA from 1 species